rnacentral:rRNA from 1 species
UACAGAGGUCCCAAGCGUUGUUCGGAUUCACUGGGCGUAAAGGGUGCGUAGGCGGCGCGGUAAGUCGGGUGUGAAAUCUCGGAGCUUAACUCCGAAACUGCAUUCGAUACUGCCGUGCUUGAGGACUGGAGAGGAGACUGGAAUUUACGGUGUAGCGGUGAAAUGCGUAGAUAUCGUAAGGAAGACCAGUGGCGAAGGCGGGUCUCUGGACAGUUCUGACGCUGAGGCACGAAGGUCAGGGGAGCAAACGGG